GGGGAACUGAAACAUCUAAGUACCCCGAGGAAAAGAAAUCAACCGAGAUUCCCCCAGUAGCGGCGAGCGAACGGGGAGCAGCCCAGAGCCUGAAUCAGUGUGUGUGUUAGUGGAAGCGUCUGGAAAGGCGCGCGAUACAGGGUGACAGCCCCGUACACAAAAAUGCACAUGCUGUGAGCUCGAUGAGUAGGGCGGGACACGUGGUAUCCUGUCUGAAUAUGGGGGGACCAUCCUCCAAGGCUAAAUACUCCUGACUGACCGAUAGUGAACCAGUACCGUGAGGGAAAGGCGAAAAGAACCCCGGCGAGGGGAGUGAAAAAGAACCUGAAACCGUGUACGUACAAGCAGUGGGAGCCUCUUUAUGGGGUGACUGCGUACCUUUUGUAUAAUGGGUCAGCGACUUAUAUUCUGUAGCAAGGUUAACCGAAUAGGGGAGCCGAAGGGAAACCGAGUCUUAACUGGGCGUUAAGUUGCAGGGUAUAGACCCGAAACCCGGUGAUCUAGCCAUGGGCAGGUUGAAGGUUGGGUAACACUAACUGGAGGACCGAACCGACUAAUGUUGAAAAAUUAGCGGAUGACUUGUGGCUGGGGGUGAAAGGCCAAUCAAACCGGGAGAUAGCUGGUUCUCCCCGAAAGCUAUUUAGGUAGCGCCUCGUGAAUUCAUCUCCGGGGGUAGAGCACUGUUUCGGCAAGGGGGUCAUCCCGACUUACCAACCCGAUGCAAACUGCGAAUACCGGAGAAUGUUAUCACGGGAGACACACGGCGGGUGCUAACGUCCGUCGUGAAGAGGGAAACAACCCAGACCGCCAGCUAAGGUCCCAAAGUCAUGGUUAAGUGGGAAACGAUGUGGGAAGGCCCAGACAGCCAGGAUGUUGGCUUAGAAGCAGCCAUCAUUUAAAGAAAGCGUAAUAGCUCACUGGUCGAGUCGGCCUGCGCGGAAGAUGUAACGGGGCUAAACCAUGCACCGAAGCUGCGGCAGCGACGCUUAUGCGUUGUUGGGUAGGGGAGCGUUCUGUAAGCCUGUGAAGGUGUGCUGUGAGGCAUGCUGGAGGUAUCAGAAGUGCGAAUGCUGACAUAAGUAACGAUAAAGCGGGUGAAAAGCCCGCUCGCCGGAAGACCAAGGGUUCCUGUCCAACGUUAAUCGGGGCAGGGUGAGUCGACCCCUAAGGCGAGGCCGAAAGGCGUAGUCGAUGGGAAACAGGUUAAUAUUCCUGUACUUGGUGUUACUGCGAAGGG
rnacentral:rRNA from 1 species